AUCCUUGUGCAUGGACAAGAUCAGCAGCAGUGAAGACUUGUCUGAGCUCUGAUUUUUUCUAGUUGAAAACUACAACUACAUUGACGCUCCUGGCUCACCCCUCCCCUGGGUCGGGAAAUUUUUGGAAAUUAUUGCGAUGU
rnacentral:snRNA from 1 species